rnacentral:rRNA from 1 species
UACGAAGGGGCUAGCGUUGCUCGGAAUCACUGGGCGUAAAGGGUGCGUAGGCGGGUCUUUAAGUCAGGGUGAAUCCUGGAGCUCAACUCCAGAACUGCCUUGAUACUGAAGAUCUUGAGUUCGGGAGAGGUGAGUGGAACUGCGAGUGUAGAGGUGAAAUUCGUAGAUAUUCGCAAGAACACCAGUGGCGAAGGCGGCUCACUGGCCCGAUACUGACGCUGAGGCACGAAAGCGUGGGGAGCAAACAGG